rnacentral:rRNA from 1 species
AUAUCAAUAAGCGGAGGAAAAGAAACCAACAGGGAUUGCUCUAGUAACGGCGAGUGAAGCAGCAAUAGCUCAAAUUUGAAAUCUGGCGUCUUCGACGUCCGAGUUGUAAUUUGUAGAGGAUGCUUCUGAGUAACCACCGACCUAAGUUCCUUGGAACAGGACGUCAUAGAGGGUGAGAAUCCCGUAUGCGGUCGGAAAGGUGCUCUAUACGUAGCUCCUUCGACGAGUCGAGUUGUUUGGGAAUGCAGCUCUAAAUGGGAGGUAAAUUUCUUCUAAAGCUAAAUAUUGGCCAGAGACCGAUAGCGCACAAGUAGAGUGAUCGAAAGAUGAAAAGCACUUUGGAAAGAGAGUUAAAAAGCACGUGAAAUUGUUAAAAGGGAAGGGAUUGCAACCAGACUUGCUCGCGGUGUUCCGCCGGUCUUCUGACCGGUCUACUCGCCGCGUUGCAGGCCAGCAUCGUCUGGUGCCGCUGGAUAAGACUUGAGGAAUGUAGCUCCCUCGGGAGUGUUAUAGCCUCUUGUGAUGCAGCGAGCGCCGGGCGAGGUCCGCGCUUCGGCUAGGAUGCUGGCGUAAUGGUCGUAAUCCGCCCGUCUUGAAACACGGACCAAGGAGUCUAACAUCUAUGCGAGUGUUCGGGUGUCAAACCCCUACGCGUAAUGAAAGUGAACGGAGGUGAGAACCGCAAGGUGCAUCAUCGACCGAUCCUGAUGUCUUCGGAUGGAUUUGAGUAAGAGCAUAGCUGUUGGGACCCGAAAGAUGGUGAACUAUGCCUGAAUA